CCUACGGGCGGCAGCAGUAGGGAAUUUUCGGCAAUGGGGGGAACCCUGACCGAGCAACGCCGCGUGAACGAAGAAGUUAUUCGUAAUGUAAAGUUCUUUUAACAGGGAAGAAAGAGAAAUUUGACGGUACCUGAAGUAUAAGCUCUGGCAAACUACGUGCCAGCAGCCGCGGUCAUACGUAGGGAGCGAGCGUUAUCCGGAAUUAUUGGGCGAAAGGGGUGCGUAGAUGGCAUAGAAGGUCUUUUGUAAAAAUGCUGGGCUAAACCCAGUAGGGCAAAAGAUACUGGAAAGCUAGAGUAUGACAGAGGCAAGUGGAACUACAUGUGUAGCGGUAAAAUGCGUAAAUAUAUGUAAGAACACCAGUGGCGAAGGCGGCUUGCUGGGUCGAUACUGACAUUGAGGCACGAAAGCGUGGGGAGCAAACAGGAUUAGAUACCCUAGUAGUC
rnacentral:rRNA from 1 species